rnacentral:rRNA from 1 species
UACGUAGGGUGCAAGCGUUGUCCGGAAUUAUUGGGCGUAAAGAGCUCGUAGGCGGUCUGUCGCGUCGGCUGUGAAAACCCGGGGCUUAACCCCGAGCCUGCAGUGGAUACGGGCAGACUAGAGGUAGGUAGGGGAGAAUGGAAUUCCCGGUGUAGCGGUGAAAUGCGCAGAUAUCAGGAGGAACACCAAUGGCGAAGGCAGCUCGCUGGAACGGUACUGACGCUGAGGCGCGAAAGCGUGGGGAGCAAACAGG